rnacentral:rRNA from 1 species
UGCUGUGAGCUCGAUGAGUAGGGCGGGACACGUGGUAUCCUGUCUGAAUAUGGGGGGACCAUCCUCCAAGGCUAAAUACUCCUGACUGACCGAUAGUGAACCAGUACCGUGAGGGAAAGGCGAAAAGAACCCCGGCGAGGGGAGUGAAAAAGAACCUGAAACCGUGUACGUACAAGCAGUGGGAGCCCCACCACUAAGCCAGUGGUGAACUCCACAUACGCAUCCUUUGCUGAGGAUACGGUUAACGGAGCGAAAGCGACGUUCAACCUCAAAAGAAGCAGAGGGGGCUUAGUGGUGGGGUGACUGCGUACCUUUUGUAUAAUGGGUCAGCGACUUAUAUUCUGUAGCAAGGUUAACCGAAUAGGGGAGCCGGAGGGAAACCGAGUCUUAAUUGGGCGUUAAGUUGCAGGGUAUAGACCCGAAACCCGGUGAUCUAGCCAUGGGCAGGUUGAAGGUUGGGUAACACUAACUGGAGGACCGAACCGACUAAUGUUGAAAAAUUAGCGGAUGACCUGUGGCUGGGGGUGAAAGGCCAAUCAAACCGGGAGAUAGCUGGUUCUCCCCGAAAGCUAUUUAGGUAGCGCCUCGUGAAUUCAUCUCCGGGGGUAGAGCACUGUUUCGGCUAGGGGGCCAUCCCGGCUUACCAACCCGAUGCAAACUGCGAAUACCGGAGAAUGUUAUCACGGGAGACACACGGCGGGUGCUAACGUCCGUCGUGAAGAGGGAAACAACCCAGACCGCCAGCUAAGGUCCCAAAGUCAUGGUUAAGUGGGAAACGAUGUGGGAAGGCCCAGACAGCCAGGAUGUUGGCUUAGAAGCAGCCAUCAUUUAAAGAAAGCGUAAUAGCUCACUGGUCGAGUCGGCCUGCGCGGAAGAUGUAACGGGGCUAAACCAUGCACCGAAGCUGCGGCAGCGACGCUUAUGCGUUGUUGGGUAGGGGAGCGUUCUGUAAGCCUGUGAAGGUGUGUCGUGAGGCAUGCUGGAGGUAUCAGAAGUGCGAAUGCUGACAUAAGUAACGAUAAAGCGGGUGAAAAGCCCGCUCGCCGGAAGACCAAGGGUUCCUGUCCAACGUUAAUCGGGGCAGGGUGAGUCGACCCCUAAGGCGAGGCCGAAAGGCGUAGUCGAUGGGAAACGGGUUAAUAUUCCCGUACUUGGUGUUACUGCGAAGGGGGGACGGAGAAGGCUAUGUUGGCCGGGCGACGGUU